rnacentral:rRNA from 1 species
UCAGAACUCUGAAGUUAAGCGUGCUUGGGCGAGAUUAGUACUAGGAUGGGUGACCUUCUGGGAAGUCCUCGUGUUGCAUUCC